AAAAACUAUGGUUUGUGACCAUCAAUGACCCGCCAUGUUUAAACUUAAGAGAUUGAUGUGGCGUUUUCAUUACAUAAUUGCCAUUGUUUUCUGAUCGUGCUAGGUUGCAACAACUAUGUUAUUGCUAGUCUUGUCUGGUCCGGUGAAAGCCUUAACCUAUUUGCUUAAGCACGGUUUAGUUGGUUUUACAAUGGGAAGUUUAUGGAGGUAUGAAGUGAUUCAAAUUAGUUUACGCAGUGGCUACGGAUUACUUUUUUGACAUCACAGUUUUAUGGUUCGAUCACUGGGUGCUGUAGGGUAUGUCUUGAUAUCAUCAUUCUUGAUAAGGGAAAACAUACUUGCUUUGGUAAUUAACCAUCCUUUGUUUGAUAUUCGUUUUUUGUAGUACCGAGAUUUGAUAUGUUUUUUGUUUGUGAUUUGGUUUGCUUGCAGAUCACUAUAAACAUUCAUGCUUCUCUAACAUUCAUAUUUACUGCAUCGGGCAUCUAUUCAGUCCCGUCAAUGGAAGCGAUUUAUGCUUUAUUUGGUUCUCAGGUAUCUCUCUCUCUCUCGCUCUGCCUCUCGCAUAUGCACUCUUUAUAUAUUAAGGCUUUAUAUUUGUAACAUGUAUUGAUUAAUCGCGGAUCCUUCAUGUUCUUGUUCCACCUACUGUAUUCGGUGUUCCUUACGAGGCACUGGAUGAAAGUAUCAUUACGAUUGCCAAGAUGGCUGGAGAAGGCUAUAUAAUUUGACUUCCCAUAUGUUAUAGGUCGGAAAAAUAAAACCGCAACUGUGGUUUCAUUUCUGUAAGUAAGAACAUGGCGAAGAUUCAGUAUCAUGUAUCGUCACAUUAGUUGUCAUUGUUUGCUUACGUUCCUGUCAUGUAUACAUAAACUACAUUUUGGAUUGAAAACAGGCAAAUGUCGA